rnacentral:lncRNA from 1 species
CCCGGGGCCGCGCCUUCCCUCCCACCGCGAGGGCCCGCGAGGGGCUCCGUGGGCAGCGCUGCCGCCUGGCGCCGGGGUGCGCCCACGUGGAGCGCGGGUGGGUGGGGAGAGCCCGCCGAGCCUGGGGCGGGGAGGUUGGGGUGCCCGGGCGACGUGUCCAGGCUUGCGGCUGGGCGAGGGAGGAAGAAAUUAACUUCAAGAUUCAAGGCCUUACAUUUGAGAAGGACUAAGGGCAAAGCCUUUGUUUUGUGUGCGGAUCUGUUGUUGGUGGGAACUCAGCUUAGCCGCUGAAGCCAAAGAACAUGUUCAGAUUCCAGUCUCUGCUUCACUGAGUGGGGCAAGAUCUUCAGGAUAUUUAUAUGGUAAGGUCAUUCAAU